rnacentral:lncRNA from 1 species
AACCUGCAACACUGGGAUUAGGGGAAAUGGAUGAGCUAAAAAGCCCAGUGAGUAGAAACAUAGAAAACAGUUCAUUAAUUACAUGCUCUCAUGAAAUGCGUCAUAUCACAAAGAAAUCACAUAACUGUCUCUGGUCCGUCUCGGGGCUCAUGCAGCUAAAUAUUCCCCACGGAGUGUUUUUGAGAGUUCCUUUCUUUGCUAGCAUCCUUUACUCUCAAGGAUCGGACAUGACCUCAAAAAUCCCUCUGUCGGUGCCCGGCUCCCUCAAAGGAGCUCACACAGGACUUUCACAUACAUGACAGGGUGCCUAGUCCACAGAGAGCUCACAAGGACUUUCCUAUAUGUACUUGUCCGGCUCUCAAAGGACUCACCCAAGACUCAAUGACAGAUAUGGGCUAUUGAAGUCGCCUUGGUCCAAACCUCCUGAAAACAACAUCAAAUAAUGCAAUGCGCCACAUUCGUGAACUAGUGCAAACGGCCUACUACAUAUAAUCAUGAUGCAUGAACAUGCUUUAGGCAUUAUAU